rnacentral:rRNA from 1 species
UACGUAGGGUGCGAGCGUUAAUCGGAAUUACUGGACGUAAAGUGUGCGCAGGCGGCUUCGCAAGUCGAGUGUGAAAUCCCCGAGCUUAACUUGGGAAUUGCGCUCGAAACUACGGAGCUGGAGUGUGGCAGAGGAAGGUGGAAUUCCACGUGUAGCGGUGAAAUGCGUAGAGAUGUGGAGGAACACCGAUGGCGAAGGCAGCCUUCUGGGCCAACACUGACGCUCAUGCACGAAAGCGUGGGGAGCAAACAGG